rfam:Callithrix jacchus chromosome X, whole genome shotgun sequence
ACCACCUGGGGAUCUUGUUAAAAUGAAGAUUCUGAUUUAGAGGUCAGAGGUUGGGCCAUUUUUAACAAGUUCCCAGGUGAUGGUAA